GACGAACGCUGGCGGCGUGCUUAACACAUGCAAGUCGAACGGAAAGGCCCUGCUUUUGUGGGGUGCUCGAGUUGCGAACGGGUGAGUUACACUUGAGUAACCUGCCCUUCACUUUGGGAUAUCUUCAGGAAACUGGGGCUAUUACCGGCUAGGAGCUCCUGCUGCAUGGUGGGGGUUGGAAAGUUUCGGCGGUUGGGGAUGGACUCGCGGCUUAUCAGCUUGUUGGUGGGGUAGUGGCUUACCAAGGGUUUGACGGGUAGCCGGGCUGCGAGGGGGACCGGCCACAAUGGGACUGAGAUAGGGACCAGACUCGAACGGGAGGCAGCAGUGGGGAAGAUUGCACAAUGGGCGGAAGCCUGAUGCAGCAAAGCAGCGUGCGGGAUGAGGGGCUGCGGGUAGUAAACAGCAGUAGCCUGAGACGAAGCGUGAGUGACGGUAAUGGGUAAAGAAGCACCGGCUAACUACGUG
rnacentral:rRNA from 1 species